UGACGGAGCAAGACCGCGUGAGGGAGGAAGGCUCUUGGGUUGUAAACCUCUUUUCUCAGGGAAGAAGCUCUGACGGUACCUGAGGAAUCAGCCUCGGCUAACUCCGUGCCAGCAGCCGCGGUAAUACGGAGGAGGCAAGCGUUAUCCGGAAUUAUUGGGCGUAAAGCGUCCGCAGGUGGCGAUUCAAGUCUGCUGUCAAAGCACGGGGCUUAACUCCGUUAAGGCAGUGGAAACUGAAUAGCUAGAGUGCCGUAGGGGUAGAGGGAAUUCCCGGUGUAGCGGUGAAAUGCGUAGAGAUCGGGAAGAACAUCGGUGGCGAAAGCGCUCUACUGGACGGCAACUGACACUCAGGGACGAAAGCUAGGGGAGCGAAUGGGAUUAGAUACCCCAGUAGUCA
rnacentral:rRNA from 1 species